UACGUAGGGUGCAAGCGUUGUCCGGAAUUAUUGGGCGUAAAGGGCUCGUAGGCGGUCUGUCACGUCGGGAGUGAAAACACGGGGCUUAACCCCGUGCCUGCUUCCGAUACGGGCAGACUAGAGGUAUGCAGGGGAGAACGGAAUUCCUGGUGUAGCGGUGAAAUGCGCAGAUAUCAGGAGGAACACCGGUGGCGAAGGCGGUUCUCUGGGCAUUACCUGACGCUGAGGAGCGAAAGCGUGGGGAGCAAACAGG
rnacentral:rRNA from 1 species